UACGUAGGGGGCAAGCGUUGUCCGGAAUCAUUGGGCGUAAAGAGCGCGUAGGCGGCCCUGUAAGUCCGCUGUGAAAGUCAAGGGCUCAACCCUUGAAUGCCGGUGGAUACUGCAGGGCUAGAGUCCGGAAGAGGCGAGUGGAAUUCCCGGUGUAGCGGUGAAAUGCGCAGAUAUCGGGAAGAACACCCGUGGCGAAGGCGGCUCUCUGGGACGGUACUGACGCUGAGACGCGAAAGCGUGGGGAGCGAACAGG
rnacentral:rRNA from 1 species